rnacentral:rRNA from 1 species
UACGUAGGGGGCAAGCGUUGUCCGGAUUUAUUGGGCGUAAAGAGCGUGUAGGCGGCUAGAUAGGUCCGUUGUGAAAACUCGAGGCUCCAACCUCGAGACGUCGAUGGAAACCAUCUGGCUAGAGUCCGGAAGAGGAGAGUGGGAAUUCCUGGUGUAGCGGUGAAAUGCGCAGAUAUCAGGAAGAACACCGGUGGCGAAGGCGGGCUCUGGCGGCACUGACUGACGUGAGGAGCGAAAGCGUGGGGAGCGAACAGG